rnacentral:rRNA from 1 species
CGGUGAUGAGGGGCUUGCCCUUCUGAUCAGUGGCGAACGGGUGAGAACACGUGAGUAACCUGCCCUUCACUCUGGGAUAACGCUGGGAAACUGGUGCUAAUACUGGAUAUGACCUGCUCGGGCAUCCGAUGUGGGUGGAAAGAUUUAUUGGUGGGGGAUGGACUCGCGGCCUAUCAGCUUGUUGGUGAGGUAAUGGCUCACCAAGGCGACGACGGGUAGCCGGCCUGAGAGGGCGAUCGGCCACACUGGGACUGAGACACGGCCCAGACUCCUACGGGAGGCAGCAGUGGGGAAUAUUGCACAAUGGGCGAAAGCCUGAUGCAGCGACGCCGCGUGAGGGAUGAAGGCCUUCGGGUUGUAAACCUCUUUCAGCAGGGAAGAAGCGCCUGGGUUUUCCCGGGUGUGACGGUACCUGCAGAAGAAGCACCGGCUAACUACGUGCCAGCAGCCGCGGUAAUACGUAGGGUGCAAGCGUUGUCCGGAAUUAUUGGGC